rnacentral:antisense_RNA from 1 species
ACAAGGGCCUGGAGUGUGAGCAGGAGCAAGGGAGUGCUCGGGAAAUGGAAACAAUGAAUGAAUCAAUCAGUCAAUCAGUGGCACGUUCUAGAGGCCAUAGCCUCUGUUCUGGUCAUCUCCAGUCUCCUGGGGUGGGAGUGUACAGCUCAGAGACUGCCACACUGCAAGACGAAGGGGCUGGAUGGACGGAAGUAAGAGGCGGAACCCUGCACACCCUCGGCCUCAGCCCCACUGAGUCUCCAAUGGGGCCACGCUUCUGAGUGCACCUCCCCCUGUCAUCUGUAAUGUGAGGGGGAACCAGGCUUGAUAUGGCAUUCCCAAUCCAGGGCCUCUGGACCCCUUGAGAUGCAUUAAAAUAGUGAU